rnacentral:rRNA from 1 species
UACAUGGGGUGCAAACGUUGCUCGGAAUUAUUGGGCGUAAAGCGCGCGUAGGCGGUUACUUAAGUCGGAUGUGAAAGCCCUCGGCUUAACUGAGGAAGUGCACCCGAAACUGAGUAGCUAGAGUACGAAAGAGGGUCGCGGAUUUCCCGGUGUAGAGGUGAAAUUCGUAGAUAUCGGGAGGAACACCGGUGGCGAAGGCGGCGACCUGGGUCGAGACUGACGCUGAGGCGCGAAAGCGUGGGGAGCAAACAGG